rnacentral:tRNA from 1 species
GCGGGUAUUAGCGCUUUCUUAUCAAGAAGGCGUCAUCACGAAAGCUUCCCAAGCUUCAGUUACGGGUUCGAUUCCCGUUACCCGCUCCA